GACGAACGCUGGCGGCGCGCUUAACACAUGCAAGUCGAACGGAAAGGCCUGCUUUCCCUUGUGGAUUGCGGGUACUCGAGUGGCGAACGGGUGAGUAACACGUGAGUGAUCUGCCCCCAACUUGGGUAUAAGCCUGGGAAACUGGGUCUAAUUCCCGAUAGGACUGCAGGGUGGUGCCUGUGGUGGAAAACGAUCUUCUAGUGGUUGGGGAUGAGCUCGCGGCCUAUCAGCUUGUUGGUGGGGUAAUGGCCUACCAAGGCGGCGACGGGUAGCCGGCCCGAGAGGGAGAAGAGGGACACCGAGAGUGGGACAGAGCCCCGACUCCGACGGGAGGGGGAGGCGGGGAGGGGUGGAGAAGGGGCGGAGGCGUAAUCCAGAAACGCCGAGGGCGGGAUGAGGGCCCCCGGGUUGGGGUCUGAACUUGUACGGGACGGAAAGGAACCGGCUGGUACCGGGGGGAGAUGACGGUAGUGUAAGAAGAAGCACCGGCUAACUACGUG
rnacentral:rRNA from 1 species